rnacentral:lncRNA from 1 species
AAUAUAGUGAACUUAUUGUGAUUAUUUUAUGGAGGUGGGGUGAAUUUAUAAAAUAAUGGGGUGGAAAUAUCUACACCCAAUGAUGAAAUAUAAUAAGGGGUCAAAUAUCACAACUCUUUUGUUAGUACAUCUAGGUGGCUAGGUGGCUCGUGGGUUGUCCACUUGUCCACUAGCGUCUUGAUCUCUUGGGUACCCACCAAAUUUGGCAUUAUUAUAAUAUAGCCCAACCAAAUAAAGAGUAGUGAUAUUUGAACCUUUUUUUUUAUAUUUUACCGGUCCUUAUUUUUUAAUUAAUCCCAUUUAUUUUUAAGAUUAUCUUUAUUUAAAAAAUAAAAAAUAAUAUAAAGUUUUUCUUUUCUUCCCUCUUCUUCUUCUUCUUCUUCUCUGUCUCUGUCUCUCUCUCUCUUUCAAUCUUUUAGAGUAUCAAUUUUUGAAAAUUAAAGUACGUUGAUAAAAAGGCAAGAUGAAAUUUUUGAGCAGAGAAAGGGAUUAAUAUCAAAUCUGAAAGUGAACUACUUUGAUAUUGUUAGAUAUGAAUCACUCAAAGCAAGAAGAAAAACAAUGGAUGGAUAGAUAUACUAAAUAAAAACCAGAGGAAACAAAAAAACUCACUGACCCUCUACUAUUGAAACUGAUUUAAUUUGUUAUUGAAAUUAGUAUAAUUAAUAACAAUAAAACCUAUCAGUUCUUAUAAAAUUUAACAAAACACAACAAAGAAAACUCAUUAUAAUAAGCAACUGGUGGAUUUGAGAAGAUAACUGGUGGUAGUGAUUUUAAUAGUAAAUUGGGUGGUGGUGAAAUAUAGAGUGGUGGUGAUGGUGAUCCUUGAGAGAGAAAGAAGAUGAGAGAGAAAAUAAAAUACAGUAACUAUUUUUUUUAAUUUCUUUUAAAGAGGAUAACUUUAGAAAUAAAUUAUGUUAAUUAAAAUGUAGGUACUAGUAAGAUAAAUAGAGGAGUUCAAAUGACAUUACUACCAAAUAAAUUGCUCCUAAAGCAAUUAGUUAAUUAAGAAUGAAGCUUGUAUGUAAAUUAACAACAUUUCAAUCGGUAGUUCUACACUUACAUAAUUGAAAUUUAAAAUUUACAUUACAAGAGAACAGGUGGUGCAUCCGACCCAUUUACAGGUUAGCUUUAGGACAUAAGCACGUUAAAGAAAGUUAAUAAACGACAACUGACAUUUUAACAUAUGACAAUUAAAGGGAAUGAUUAAAAGACCAGGUGGAUCCAACCCAGAGCUCAUUUGUCAUUCGUAAUAACCCAUCACUUGGGAUACACAUCCGUCACCCACAUAAACAUUUAAGCUCGAAUUAGUAAAGUUACCCUCAAUUUCUGUUAAGUUACAUUAUCACAUUUGUAUUUCAUCCCACCUUAAGUUAGUUGUGCCGUUUACUGAAGAUGGAUUUGCAUCAUCUUUUAGUUUAAUUUUUAUUAAGGUUUCAAGAAAAUCAAGACACAUGUCAUUUGAGUUUUUUUACGAAUGAGAUUUGAUUAUAGUAUCGGAGAGAGAUAGAUAAUCUUGAGACCUUUAAAUUAGAUUAAUUACUACAUUCACGAUGAGUCAUCAAACUUCGUGGAUUGUGGAGCAUGGUAGGCCAUAGGAGAGUACACGGAUAUUAAAAAUAAAUUAGAAAAGAAAAAGUGAAACAAGGUUUUCUCACAAUCAUUCAUGGUACGUACUAAGUAUCACAAUAGGAUGAGAGGGGCAGUCCACCAUAAGAUAACUGACAGGAGUAGUACUAUGCACAGACCUAGGGUUCUAUGACUGAAAAUUAAACAAUUAAAAACAUGAAGGGGCUAAAAUGAAAUUCUGUCAAUUCCUACGCAUAUCUUGUGUUCGGCCCCCCUAAUUCUUUUUAUAAAUCGAUUUUUUGAUAUUACUACUAAUGAUUACUUAUUCUUGAUUAUGGUCCUCUUCUUUGGCACUCUCAAUUUUUUUUUUGGGUUAUUUAUUCCUAGAUAAAACAUAUUGUGACAAAUUUUAAAAAAUGUGACACAUUUUAAAAAAAUAUUUGAGUAGGUGACAUUUCGUUAAUUUUUACUAUUAACUUUAACGCUAAUAAUAAAUUAGUCACAAAAUGACAUUGUUACCUCUACAAUUAAUUACAAAAUGACAUUCCCCCUAUAAUUUGUAACAAAAUGAUAUUUCUACCAUUGCAAUUAGUUACAAAAUGAUAUUUCUGCCGCUACUCACUUAUAUUUUUUUAAAUAGAAAAAUAUAUGAAAAUUAAAUCUAAGUCUAAUUAAUAGGACAUUUUCUUAGGGUAAGUCAAACAUAUUUUUAAAAAAAAAACUUUUCUUGUUGAAUCAAACUGAUUUGUGAAUAUAAAGAAGUAGAUCUCUUACGAACUAAAAGCAUUGUAUAAAUCUUUUUUUUUAAUCUCUUUGGCUUUAUGAAAAAAAAUUCUAUUUUUUUUCAAUUCUACCCUCGAUCGGUUAAAGUUAGUGGUAAAAGUUAACAAAAUAUCACCCUACUUGAGUAUUUUUAAAACAUGAGUCAUCUUUUGAAAUUUGUCAAAAGAUGUGUCACCUAGACGUAAUUAACCAUUUUUUUUUUUUUGCUAUAGCCUCAAGUUUAUUGUUUUGGGAUUAUGGCCCCUAUCGAACCAAAGUUCUUGUUCAGCCAUUAAUCAUUGAGAAAUAUCUCCUUUCUCGAUUGAGGAUAUUAAUAAUUGAAUUGUAAUUCACAAUCAAGCAAGAAAUUAAAAAUAACGGCAGCUCUCAUAGUGAUUUUUAAGUAGUUUUAUUUUAUUGGUCACUCGUUUAAAUUUGGGUAGAGGUAAGGGGUCAAAAAAAUAAAUUUAAACUUUGCCCAUCUCUUAUCUUCUCCUCCCCCAACAAAAAAAAAAAGAUAGAUAUUGGAAAAAUUUUCCGAUUGAAUCAAAUCAAAUCACAAAAUCCUGAAAUUACUCUUUCUUUUUUUUUCCCAUUCAUUUUAAACCAAAAAAAAAAAAAGCACUGCGGUUAUGUAAAUUUCAAAUCAAUUAGAGUGAAAAUUUAUUAUUUGGUCACACCAUUUAAUUGUUAUUCUGUAUUACUCUAUCAAUUGAGAUACAAUCAAGAUUCUAAUUUUGUAGGUGGGACAUUACUCAAAUAAGAAAUAGUCAAACCAGAUAGCAUGAAAAAGUAAGUAAUUCAAAAGAAUCAAACGUAUCAAAUAAAGCGAUUGAUAUUCUCCAAGCUGAGGAGAGCACAAUUAGGUGGAUUGAUUUUCACGCCAAGGAACAAUGCCAUUAGCCAUAUAAACACAUUUCAUCAUGAGCUUGUGAGUUAAGUAAAUGGGAGAGAUCAUCAAAAAUUGGAUCAAAAGAAAGAAAUAAAGCAAAAGUGAAGUUCUUUUCGACCAAAAUACACAUGCGCAGGCACAUAAGGACGCGCGCACACACACUCACAAGCAACGCAAUGAUACAAAGGAAUUGAUGAGAAUGUUGGUGAGUUGGUCGUGGUCAUGCAUGGGAGUGAUUCCCAAGGAGAAUCGAAUCAGCCCACUUUCCUUUUUAAUUUGCUCAAUAUUUCUUUAAUUUCUCUCUUUACAGUUUGCUUCUUUACUUUCUUUACCAUUCUCCAAGAGAAUGGAGGCCAGAUCUUAAUUAGUGUACCAUCUUCAUUCUUCAAUGUGUGUGUUAUUAUUAUUAUUAAUUUUUUUUUUUUGGUGAUGUGCUGUUUGUAAUAAAUAAUAAAGAGAUAAUGAGAAAGAUAAAGUUGAUAUAGCAGCCGCAGAAAAGGAAGGCAAAAAAAUGAAAAGAUGGUCAAAAUGAAAACCUCGAAGACUUGUUAUUCCAUCAUGAAUAUCAGCUUCAAACUAUCUUUAUUGAAACUCACCAUUUGUCUUUCUUUUUCUGGUUUUUGUUCCUCUUUUAUUUUUGUUCAUUUAUAUUUCGUUUUUCAGAAAAUUUAUUUCUGCCUACAAUAUCUAUCUAUGUACCCUCCUCAUAAAUAAUAAAAAUGAAAUUCGUAAUCAUAUAUGUUUUGAAUAUCAUACUAAAAUUUAUUGAUAUUUAUAAUUAAAAAACAAAUGUGCAUAAAUAUUAACCUUUUUGUGAUGCACACGACGCGUGUGUCUAAAAUAGGGCAGAUCUAUUUUGAAUAAUAAAAAUUUCUCUUACCUUUUAUAUAGGGACUUGAAUCCCUACCCACAUGUAUAGGAAUAUUAUUCUACGACUAGUAGGUGUUUCUUAUCUUAUAAUUAUUAAAUGUCUUUACAUGAUUGACUUCUACAUAUAUUACAUUACAAUCUAUAUUUUUUGUCUUUUAAUUUGUUUUUAACUUUAAUAUGAUUAGAGAUCCGUGAUUAGAAAAUUAUUUUAACACGAUAUAUUUUUAAUUAAGAAUUUGACUCAAAGAGAUAAAAUCUAGCCACCAUAGAGGCUCAAAUAUUAGAUAUGCAAUGCAUUUGCGCUCCACUUUUAUUUAUUAAAAAAAAUUAUAUAUAAUCUGCCUUCUUCAUAAAGUGAAAAAAAAAUGACGAUUUGUGUUAUUAAUGUAAAAAAUUUGAAAAGAAUCAAUUCUCUUAUUCCUAAGAUCUCAAGUACACGAAUAAAGGAAUAUUCAAACUUGUAAAGCGGCAACAAUUUAACCCAUAGAUUGGCACAGUAUUUUGACUGAUUCAGUUCUCAAAGCUUGAAUUGAAAGAGACUUGGCCAAAAUAAUUGAGUUAAAUGUGUUGCCCUGCCUCUGCCUUUGGUUUUCCUGUUAUAAGAAUAUUCAUUACAAUGUAAAGAAAACUCUGACGUGGAUUCCUUGUAAUCCAUUAACAAGCAGCCACCUGCGUCUUUUAUUUUUCAGUUUUCUCUUUUGUAAAAUUUUCACUGUUGCUUUUUCUUCCCCCCCUCCUGUCUAACACAUUGUUAGAUUUUGUUUGUGGGGACUGCAUAAAUGGAAUUGCUUGGUCAAAGGGACUUUUAUGAAUUCAUGCUUCAAUCGAUUGAAUAGAUUUUCGGAUUAGGGCUGUUGUGGUUGUAGCCUUACAAUAUCUCCUGUUUGCUUUAUGUGGGAUCCUCUAACAGUUUGCUUGCCGGCUAGGCCUACAAAGGCUAGAUGUGGUGCUAUAGGAUUUAUUGAACAAAUUCUCCAAUAUUUUCUUUUGAAAAUCGUUACCUUACAUUUUGUGUAACUUGCCACUUCUAAAAAUAAUAUAAAAUUAAAAAAUAAGUAAGUGAUUCUGGCUCAAAUAGGAUCAGUCUCAUAUUUUACCUUCUCUUUAUUGGUUAUGGAUUACACUAAAUGUAACUUAGAGAGACUUUUUUUUUUCUUUUUCAAUUAAUCUAUUGUGGACUCAUUUUAUAUGUAAAUUACAAUAACGUAACUAUCAUAUUCUUUUUGAUAAACUAUAUUCACGGACAUAUCCGGCUCCCAAAUUUGUCAUUUUGUGCACUCAUCAUCAGAUCCAAUGGAAAACUAGUUUUAAUGGUUGGGAUAUCUUUGUUUGGUUAUUAAUAAUGAAAUCCUUUUUGUUUGCUGAAAAAUCAGCAAUUGUUUCCA